rnacentral:rRNA from 1 species
UCGAGCGAGAAAGGGGAGCAAUCCCUGAGUAAAGCGGCGCACGGGUGAGUAACACGUGGGGAAUCUACCUCUGGGUGGGGAAUAACUCUGGGAAACCGGAGCUAAUACCGCAUAAGCCUGGGAAGGGAAAGUCGAAAGACGCCGGGAGAGGACCCCGCGGCCGAUUAGCUAGUUGGUGAGGUAACGGCUCACCAAGGCAAAGAUCGGUAGCCGGCCUGAGAGGGCACACGGCCACACUGGCACUGAAACACGGGCCAGACUCCUACGGGAGGCAGCAGUGGGGAAUCUUGCACAAUGGGGGAAACCCUGAUGCAGCGACGCCGCGUGAGCGAUGAAGCCCUCCGGGGCGUAAAGCUCUUUCGCCAGGAACGAUAAUGACGGUACCUGAAGAAGAAGCUGCGGCUAACUACGUGCCAGCAGCCGCGGUAAUACGUAGGCAGCAAGCGUUGUUCGGAGUUACUGGGCGUAAAGAGUGCGUAGGCGGUGUCGAAAGUUUGGCGUGAAAUCUCCCGGCUUAACUGGGAGGGUGCGCCGAAAACUGCGAUGCUGGAGUGUGGGAAAGGCAAGCGGAAUUCCUGGUGUAGCGGUGAAAUGCGUAGAUAUCAGGAGGAACACCGGCGGUGUAGACGGCUUGCUAGACCAUAACUGACGCUGAGGCACGAAAGCGUGGGUAGCAAACAGGAUUAGAUACCCUGGUAGUCCACGCCCUAAACGAUGCAUACUUGGUGUGGGCAGUUCAUUCUGUCCGUGCCGGAGCUAACGCGUUAAGUAUGCCGCCUGGGGAGUACGGUCGCAAGGCUGA